rnacentral:rRNA from 1 species
CACGUAGGGGCCAAGCGUUGUCCGGAUUUAUUGGGCGUAAAGAGCUCGUAGGCGGUUGGGUAAGUCGGGUGUGAAACCUCCAGGCUCAACCUGGAGACGCCACUCGAUACUUCAAUGACUUGAGUUCGGUAGGGGUAAGCGGAAUUCCUGGUGUAGCGGUGAAAUGCGCAGAUAUCAGGAGGAACACCGACGGCGAAGGCAGCUUACUGGGCCGAUACUGACGCUGAGGAGCGAAAGCGUGGGGAGCGAACAGG